GACGAACGCUGGCGGCGUGCUUAACACAUGCAAGUCGAACGGAAAGGCCCUGCUUUUGUGGGGUGCUCGAGUGGCGAACGGGUGAGUAACACGUGAGUAACCUGCCCUUGACUUUGGGAUAACUUCAGGAAACUGGGGCUAAUACCGGAUAGGAGCUCCUGCUGCAUGGUGGGGGUUGGAAAGUUUCGGCGGUUGGGGAUGGACUCGCGGCUUAUCAGCUUGUUGGUGGGUUAGUGGCUUACCAAGGCUUUGACGGGUAGCCGGCCUGAGAGGGUGACCGGCCACAUUGGGACUGAGAUACGGCCCAGACUCCUACGGGAGGCAGCAGUGGGGAAUAUUGCACAAUGGGCGGAAGCCUGAUGCAGCAACGCCGCGUGCGGGAUGACGGCCUUCGGGUUGUAAACCGCUUUCGCCUGUGACGAAGCGUGAGUGACGGUAAUGGGUAAAGAAGCACCGGCUAACUACGUG
rnacentral:rRNA from 1 species